AUUGAACGCUGGCGGCAGGCCCAACACAUGCAAGUCGAGCGAGCGGCGGACGGGUGAGUAAUGUAUGGGGACUGCCCGAUAGAGGGGGAUAACUACUGGAAACGGUGGCUAAUACCGCAUACUUUCGGCAAACCCAUAUGGGGUUAGCUAGUAGGUGGGGUAAAGGCUCACCUAGGCGACGAUCUCUAGCUGGUCUGAGAGGAUGAUCAGCCCCACUGGGACUGAGACACGGCCCAGACUCCUACGGAGGCAGCAGUGGGGAAUAUUGCGCAAGGGGCGAAAACCUGAUGCAGCCAUGCCGCGUGUAUGAAGAGGGCCUUAGGGUUGUAAAGUACUUUCAGCGGGGAGGCCUUACCCGCAGAAGAAGCCCCGGCUAACUCCGUGCCAGCAGCCGCGGUAAUAC
rnacentral:rRNA from 1 species